rnacentral:rRNA from 1 species
AAUAGAUACCCCGGUAGUCCAUGCCGUAAACGUUGGGAACUAGAUGUAGGGCCUGUUCCACGGGUUCUGUGUCGUAGCUAACGCAUUAAGUUCCCCGCCUGGGGAGUACGGCCGCAAGGCUAAAACUCAAAGGAAUUGACGGGGGCCCGCACAAGCGGCGGAGCAUGCGGAUUAAUUCGAUGCAACGCGAAGAACCUUACCAAGGCUUGACAUAUACCAGAACACCCUGGAAACAGGGGACUCUUUGGACACUGGUAUACAGGUGGUGCAUGGUUGUCGUCAGCUCGUGUCGUGAGAUGUUCGGUUAAGUCCGGCAACGAGCGCAACCCUCGUCCUAUGUUGCCAGCGGGUCAUGCCGGGGACUCAUGGGAUACUGCCGUGGUCAACACGGAGGAAGGUGGGGAUGACGUCAAAUCAUCAUGCCCCUUAUGUCUUGGGCUUCACGCAUGCUACAAUGGCCGGUACAGAGGGGUUGCGAUACCGCGAGGUGGAGCGAAUCCCAAAAAGCCGGUNUCAGUUCGGAUUGGGGUCUGCAACUGACCCC